UCAUUAUUGAAUAAACUUGCACAGGCUGUUGCUGGCCCUCAAGGGUAUGUGCACGCUUGUCAUCUUUAUCUCUCCAACUGUGCACAUAUUGUAGACCUNGAGUCCCUGUUGAUUCAUUUCGAGUUGGGACUGCUGUGCUUUGUACUUCAGAGUCAGCUUUGCCUUUUUCAUACCCAGGUCUAUGUCAUUUUCACAACCUCUUGAAUGUGUUUAGAAUGUUGAAUCAGGUCUUUUUGUACCUAUAAAGUUAAAUAUACAACUUUCAGCAACGGAUCUCUUGGCUCUCGCAUCGAUGAAGAACGCAGCGAAAUGCGAUAAGUAAUGUGAAUUGCAGAAUUCAGUGAAUCAUCGAAUCUUUGAACGCAUCUUGCGCUCCUUGGUACUCCGAGGAGCAUGCCUGUUUGAGUGUCAUUUAAAUUCUCAACCACAUCAAUUUAUUUGGUGAGGCUUGGAUGUGGGGGUCUUUUUGCGGGCUUCUGUAAAUUUGAAGUCGGCUCCCCUAAAAUGCAUUAGUGGUAUCUGAGCAGAAGAAACUACUACAGGUGUGAUAAUUAUCUACGCCUCAGUAUCCUGCACAAUCAGAUUGUGCUGCUUCUAACGAGUGGAGAUUCCUUUUGGGGGACCACAUUUGUUGAAUUUGACCUCAAAUCA
rnacentral:rRNA from 1 species